rnacentral:rRNA from 1 species
ACGAACGCUGGCGGCAUGCCUAACACAUGCAAGUCGAACGAGACCUUCGGGUCUAGUGGCGCACGGGUGCGUAACGCGUGGGAACCUGCCCUUAGGUUCGGAAUAACUCCCCGAAAGGGGUGCCAAUUCCGGAUAAUGUCUUCGGACCAAAGAUUUAUCGCCUUUGGAUGGGCCCGCGUUGGAUUAGCUAGUUGGUAGGGUAAAAGCCUACCAAGGCGACGAUCCAUAGCUGGUCUGAGAGGAUGAUCAGCCACACUGGGACUGAGACACGGCCCAGACUCCUACGGGAGGCAGCAGUGGGGAAUAUUGGACAAUGGGCGAAAGCCUGAUCCAGCAAUGCCGCGUGAGUGAUGAAGGCCUUAGGGUUGUAAAGCUCUUUUACCCGGGAUGAUAAUGACAGUACCGGGAGAAUAAGCUCCGGCUAACUCCGUG